rnacentral:rRNA from 1 species
CCCCUAGAUGUUCUGGGCCGCACGCGCGCUACACUGAACAGUUCAACAAGUCUUAACCUUGGCCGAUAGGUCUGGGUAAUCUUUGAACGCUGUUCGUGAUUGGGAUAGACCUUUGCAAUUAUGGGUCUUCAACGAGGAAUUCCUAGUAAACGCAAGUCAUCAGCUUGCACUGAUUACGUCCCUGCCCUUUGUACACACCGCCCGUCGCACCUACCGAUUGAAUGGUCCGGUGAAAUCUCGGGACGGCGGCUUGGUCGCUUGCGUCCGACUGCUGAAACUUGAUUAAACCAUAUCAUUUAGAGGAAGGUGAAGCCGUANCA